rnacentral:snRNA from 1 species
GGAUGUGAGGGCGGAUCUGGUUGCGACAUCUGUCACCCCAUUGAUUGCCAGGGUUGAUUUGGCUGAUCUGGCUGGCUAGGCGGGUUUCCCCUUCCUCCCUCACUGCUCCAUGUGCUUCCCUCCCAAAGUUGCAUGCUUGGUCGAAGAGGAUGACCUUCCCCAAAUAGAGGAGGACUGGUCUUUAAUCAGGGGUAUACGAGUAGCUGCGCUCCCCUGCUAGAGCCUCCAAACAAGCUCUCAAAAAAAAAAAUUAACAGAGCUGGUCAUGGUGACUUACACCUAUAACUUCAGAGUU